rnacentral:miRNA from 1 species
GCAUCUGGCACUGUGGUUUCUUCAUGACAAUGGUGGCUGGUGGGUCCUGGAUCUACAACGGGACCUCUGCCGUCACAGUCAAGUCUGCC